rnacentral:misc_RNA from 1 species
AACGCACGAGACCUGCGGACCUGCGGAAGGAUCAUUAAUGAGAAGCUGCCCCUCGUGGGUAGACCUCCCACCCUCUGUGAACUUACCUUUGUUGCUUUGGCAGGCCCGUCCUCUGGACCGCCGGCUUCGGCUGGCCCGCGCCUGCCAGAGGAUUCCAAACCCUGUCUGUCAGUGUUGUCUGAGUCUAUAUGAAAUCGUUAAAACUUUUAGCAAUGGAUCUCUAGAUCGGAAGAGCACACG